AGCAGUUUAGGGUUAUUAUCCUGACGCUGUCCCGGUUCGGGGCGACAGUUACUGCAACCGUAACAGAUACUCAAGUUCAGUUCUUUGUAGGAAAUGGAAAUGGGGGGAUGUUCACAUUUCCUAUUCUCAAGAAGCCGGAGCAGUGUAUUAUUGAGGGUGAUGUGGGGGCAAAUCCAGUUUCCUUGGUGCUCGAUCUCCGUCACGCUAGUGCAAUCCUGCAUGCUUCAGUCAUGUCAAAGACGGUGUGGUUGUUUUGCCAGUCCCAUGGUUCAUCUGUCAUGCUGAAUUGCCCUUUUGAUAGACUUGGUAACCUCUAUUAUUACUUUCCUGAAGCCUGAAGCCUGAAGGUGAUGACAAUGGUCUAACUCAAAUCAGAUUUUAAUACGGUUUGAUCACAAG